rnacentral:rRNA from 1 species
ACGACGCCGGCGGCGUGCCUAACACAUGCAAGUCGAACGAAGCAUAGCAAUAUGCUUAGUGGCGGACGGGUGAGUAACGCGUGAACAAUCUGCCCUAUACAGAGGAAUAGCCUCGGGAAACCGGGAUUAAAACCGCAUAACACUUUAGAGUCGCAUGACUUUAAAGUCAAAUUGAUUAGAGGUAUAGGAUGAGUUCGCGUCUGAUUAGCUAGUUGGCGGGGUAACGGCCCACCAAGGCGACGAUCAGUAGCCGGCCUGAGAGGGUGAACGGCCACACUGGAACUGAGACACGGUCCAGACUCCUACGGGAGGCAGCAGUGGGGAAUAUUGCACAAUGGAGGAAACUCUGAUGCAGCGACGCCGCGUGAGUGAAGAAGGUCUUCGGAUCGUAAAACUCUGUCCUUGGUGAAGAAAGAAAUGACGGUAGCCAAGGAGGAAGCCCCGGCUAACUACGUGCCAGCCGCGGC